GUAUUAUAUUCUAAUCUCAUGUGUUCUUCCGAUUAUGAAGCAUUCUUGCGGGUUUUGGGUGGCAGACGAGGAUGAUGGGAUUGUUGUUUGAAUCCAAGGCAGCAAAAAUGGUAGAACAAAGUAGAGAUUUUAAUAUGAACUGGACUUUCCGAAUUAGAAUAAGACCACUUUCAAGAAAAAUUAAGAUCUGAAAUCAAGAAUCUUGGCUUUUAACCGUUGGUGACUACAGAAUCGAAUUUUUCAAUUUUUUUUUAUAAUUUUCUAUUUAUCCGCUCUGACUCAAUAGCUCGAAUGGGAUGCAAAGCAAAAGAUAAGGUGAAAAAAAUAAAA
rnacentral:lncRNA from 1 species